AGUGAACGCUGGCGGUAGGCCUAACACAUGCAAGUCGAACGGCAGCACAGUAAGAGCUUGCUCUUACGGGUGGCGAGUGGCGGGCGGGUGAGGAAUACAUCGGAGUCUACUUUUUCGUGGGGGAUAACGUAGGGAAACUUACGCUAAUACCGCAUACGACCUACGGGUGAAAGCAGGGGAUCUUCGGACCUUGCGCGAUUGAAUGAGCCGAUGUCGGAUUAGCUAGUUGGCGGGGUAAAGGCCCACCAAGGCGACGAUCCGUAGCUGGUCUGAGAGGAUGAUCAGCCACACUGGAACUGAGACGCGGUCCAGACUCCUACGGGAGGCAGCAGUGGGGAAUAUUGGACAAUGGGCGCAAGCCUGAUCCAGCCAUACCGCGUGGGUGAAGAAGGCCUUCGGGUUGUAAAGCCCUUUUGUUGGGAAAGAAAAGCAGCAGGUUAAUACCCCGCUGUUCUGACGGUACCCAAAGAAUAAGCACCGGCUAACUUCGUG
rnacentral:rRNA from 1 species